UCCACGCCGUAAACGAUGAUCACUCGAUGUGUGCGAUAUACUGUACGCGUCUAAGCGAAAGCAUUAAGUGAUCCACCUGGGGAGUACGGUCGCAAGAUUGAAACUCAAAGGAAUUGACGGGGGCCCGCACAAGCGGAGGAGCAUGUGGUUUAAUUCGAUGAUACGCGAGGAACCUUACCUGGGCUUAAAUGGGAGAGGACAGUUGCCGAAAGGUGACCUUCCGCAAGGACCUCUUUCAAGGUGCUGCAUGGCUGUCGUCAGCUCGUGCCGUGAGGUGUUGGGUUAAGUCCCGUAACGAGCGCAACCCCUAUCUUUAGUUGCC
rnacentral:rRNA from 1 species